AACCAGCACCUCAAGUGGUCAGGAUGAUUAUUGGGCCUAAAGCAUCCGUAGCCGGCUCUGUAAGUUUUCGGUUAAAUCUGUACGCUUAACGUACAGGCUGCCGGGAAUACUGCAGAGCUAGGUAGUGGGAGAGGUAGACGGUACUCGGUAGGAAGGGGUAAAAUCCUUUGAUCUAUUGAUGACCACCUGUGGCGAAGGCGGUCUACCAGAACACGUACGACGGUGAGGGAUGAAAGCUGGGGGAGCAAACCGGAUUAGAUACCCGGGUAGUCCCAGCUGUAAACUAUGCAAACUCAGUGAUGCAUUGGCUUGUGGCCAAUGCAGUGCUGCAGGGAAGCCGUUAAGUUUGCCGCCUGGGAAGUACGUACGCAAGUAUGAAACUUAAAGGAAUUGGCGGGGGAGCACCACAAGGGGUGAAGCCUGCGGUUCAAUUGGAGUCAACGCCAGAAAUCUUACCCGGAGAGACAGCAGAAUGAAGGUCAAGCUGAAGACUUUACCAGACAAGCUGAGAGGUGGUGCAUGGCCGUCGCCAGCUCGUGCCGUGAGAUGUCCUGUUAAGUCAGGUAACGAGCGAGAUCCCUGCCUCUAGUUGCCACCAUUACUCCCAGGAGUAGUGGGGCGAAUUAGCGGGACCGCCGCAGUUAAUGCGGAGGAAGGAAGGGGCCACGGCAAGUCAGUAUGCCCCGAAACUCUGGGGCCACACGCGGGCUGCAAUGGUAACGACAAUGGGUUUCGAAUUCGAAAGGAUGAGGUAAUCCUCAAACGUUACCACAGUUAUGACUGAGGGCUGCAACUCGCCCUCACGAAUAUGGAAUCCCUAGUAACUGCGUGUCACUAUCGCGCGGUGAAUACGUCCCUGCUCCU
rnacentral:rRNA from 1 species